rnacentral:rRNA from 1 species
CUACGCACUCCUACGGGAGGCAGCAGUCGGGGAAUAUUGCACAAUGGGCGCAAGCCUGAUGCAGCCAUGCCGCGUGUAUGAAGAAGGCCUUCGGGUUGUAAAGUACUUUCAGCAGUGAGGAAGGUGGGUAUGUUAAUAGCAUACUCAUUUGACGUUAGCUGCAGAAGAAGCACCGGCUAACUCCGUGCCAGCAGCCGCGGUAAUACGGAGGGUGCGAGCGUUAAUCGGAAUUACUGGGCGUAAAGCGCAUGCAGGUGGUUUGUUAAGUCAGAUGUGAAAGCCCGGGGCUCAACCUCGGAAUUGCAUUUGAAACUGGCAAACUAGAGUACUGUAGAGGGGGUAGAAUUUCAGGUGUAGCGGUGAAAUGCGUAGAGAUCUGAAGGAAUACCGGUGGCGAAGGCGGCCCCCUGGACAGAUACUGACACUCAGAUGCGAAAGCGUGGGGAGCAAACAGGAUUAGAUACCCUGGUAG